AUUGAACGCUGGCGGCAUGCUUUACACAUGCAAGUCGAACGGUAACAGGUCUUCGGAUGCUGACGAGUGGCGAACGGGUGAGUAAUACAUCGGAACGUGCCUAGUAGUGGGGGAUAACUACUCGAAAGAGUAGCUAAUACCGCAUGAGAUCUACGGAUGAAAGCAGGGGACCUUCGGGCCUUGUGCUACUAGAGCGGCUGAUGGCAGAUUAGGUAGUUGGUGGGGUAAAGGCUUACCAAGCCUGCGAUCUGUAGCUGGUCUGAGAGGACGAUCAGCCACACUGGGACUGAGACACGGCCCAGACUCCUACGGGAGGCAGCAGUGGGGAAUUUUGGACAAUGGGCGCAAGCCUGAUCCAGCAAUGCCGCGUGCAGAAUGAAGGCCUUCGGGUUGUAAACUGCUUUUGUACGGAACGAAAAGCCCUGGGUUAAUACCCUGGGGUCAUGACGGUACCGUAAGAAUAAGCACCGGCUAACUACGUGCCAGCCGCCGCAGUAAAAC
rnacentral:rRNA from 1 species